GCAAGGGAUCAGCCAUCAGCGCCACCAAAUGCCGGGCCAGGCUACAACAACGCUCAGCACGCAUGGGGUUCCUCUUGUAUGGCAUGGCACUAGAACCUGCGUGGGGAAGAAAAAUCUUCAAUGUCAUCAUACUUGAAGGUUGGCUAGUAGGCGGAUGUCAGUACAAAUCUGUGGAAAAGUAAACCACAGCUCACAUCGGCCAAGCCACAUUUACAGUGGGUUAAAACAAGCAAACAUAAAAAGCGCCACUAGAGGGAGCCCUUUCUCCAAAAGUGGACAUGACCUUGUGAACGGUCGCUCCUAAACUGGCAAGGCUGGAGAGAGAAUCGAUGUCCACUUUGCGGCUAUACGUCUGUCCAGUCACCAGGUAGGCUCUGCGCAGUCCAGGGAACACGUGAUACUGCAUUUUUAAAAUGUUUCCCCCCCAAAAAUACUGAUCCCAAAUAAGGACAUUCGGGCAUGUGCAUCUUUGACUGUGUGUAAUUCGAUGCUGAUCCAAAUUAUUUGAUUUUGGCUAUCUGUCAGUCAAUUGUCCAAACGUACAUUAAGAAGUACAUAUCCACAAUUUACCUUUGAAAGCCAGCCAUCUCGGUCACCAACCUGUCCAGCUCUUCCACCUACCGGGAGAUAAAUAAAGCAAUGCAUGAAGAGAAUGUCUUCAAUAUGAUGGUGCGGGGAAUUUCAAUGGAAAUGUUUGACCUUGUCGUGAUCUCCCUGAAAGAGCUGCAGGAAACUGGCCUGAGUGCCAGUGGUGCCCUUGACCCCGCGGAAACGCAGGUCGUCGCGGGCUCGCUGCAGGUUCCGCAUGUCCAUGGCCAAGUCCUGCAGCCACAGGCACGCUCGCUUACCGACCGUGGUCAACUGGGCCGGCCUGCAGGUGGGAAAGGAUGCGGUGAUGUGGGGGGAAAAAAGACCGCGUAUGUACGCGGUGAAGAAAAAGAAAAAACGGACUCACUGGUAGUGCGUGAAGCCAAGCGUGGGGAGGUCGGAAUACUUCUCGGCAAAAUUUGACAGUCUGUCGAUGACUCUUGCCAACUGUCAAAACAAGAACAACAAUCCUGCGUGUUAAUUGAAUGUAGGAAAAGAAACAAAA